ensembl:lncRNA
CCUCUUCAAAGGUGGAGACACGCUAGACCCAAACUGUUGCAGACCUAUAUCUAUCCUACCCUGCCUUUCUAAGGUCUUCAAAAGCCAAGUUAACAAACAGAUCACCAACCAUUUCGAAUCCCACCGUACCUUCUCUGCUAUGUAAUCUGCUUUCCGAGCUGGUCAUGGGUGCACCUCAGCGACGCUCAAGGUCCUAAACGAUAUCCUAAUCGCCAUCGACAAAAGACAGUACUGUGCAGCCGUAUCCAUCGACCUGGCCAAGGCUUUCGACUCUGUCUAUCACCGCAUUCUUAUCGGCAGAUUCAACAGCCUUGGUUUCUCAAAUGACUGUCUCGCCUGGUUCACCAACUACUUCUCAGAUAAGAGUUCAGUGUGUCAAAUGGACAUGGAGCAACUGCGAAAAAGAAAUGGCUGAGGAUAUGCUAAAAAUGUCUUAGUUCAACAAAGCCAACAACUGCUUCAUGUGUGCCACUGAUAGAGAACCUGAAUGUGGCCCAAAGACUGACUGGAUUGAAUGUUUUGCAUGACAACGGUGGUUCCACGUGCUGUAACUAGGAAUGAAGAGAAACGAGUUCAACAGAGCGAAGAACACAAACUGGAAGUGCUGUCUUUGUUGUUGAAAAUGUAUGCUUUUCCCCAUCCACACUGAAGAGGCUCUGACAUGUACAUCAACCAGGGAUAAAG